UAGAAUGAUGCUUCAAAUGUCUGACCUGAAUUCAAUGUUGACUUCACUAAAUACUGA
rnacentral:snoRNA from 1 species